AUGCAAAUCUCUUUGGAUAGCCUUGUCGACGACGGUGAUGGACAAAAGUAUGAGAAGAAGCAAAAAUCGGAACGGCCCAAUUUGGUACUUUCGCCCCAGAAUUUGUGGACAAUUUUUAUGUGGGCAUAGUGGGCGACGAACUGGUGGAGGUGGACUGCUGCCGAUGGAGCUCUGCUCGAUAGUGAAACUGGAAGCACAACAAAGUUGAGGUUCCAAUCGUGAAGAGGAGAUCGAUUUCCUAUCUGUUUGCCUUUUCUUUCCCAUGUGAAUGAGUGUAACUUGAAUUUGAUGUAAUUUCUGAGGUGACAAUAUGUCAUAGGAAGGCUAUUAUUUGAAGAAAGUUGGCCCGACUGCUUA